GCAAUGGGAGAAAACUCUACGAAAAGAAAUGAUUUUUCAUGCUAACAUUUUUUUUUUUCCAGAAGUAAAUUAUCUUAUUUCAUUAAUAAUAAUAGUUUAGAUACAUAAUAACAUCAAAACUUAUUAUUCUCUUUUGUGAGCCGUCAGCUGAAACGCUAAUUUCUUCUCCUUCAUCCACCAAAGAGGGGUGGUUUAGGGUCAAUUUUUGACCCCAAUUCACCCCUCCAUAUCGUUUUUCUUCUUCCAUUUUAUUUAAAUAAGUGAUUUUAACAUCGAAUUAGGUUUUCCUUUUGUGAUUUAGUCGUCUUAGUGCGACGUUGUUUUGUUUGUCGUCUUUGUGCGACGUUGUUUGUCUUUUCCCUUUUGUUCAAGUGUUUGUUCGGUUCAGAUUGUCAGAUCAGCUUCGAUACAGUGCAGAUCUAUAUCCUCUUUUGACUUCAUAUAUACCAUUUUUUUUCUUCAUAUUUCCAAAGAAAUUUUGUAUCACUUUUAUAAUGUUUCAGAAAAUGAAAUAAAGAAGGGCUGCACUCUUUAGCACGUAAAGUGUCAGGAUCAGAUAGUAAUUUUAGAGUGCAUAAAGACCAAGACUCGUUAGGGCUAGUCCAAAACAACCUGAUCAUAACCCGUUUUGAAACUUCUACCGUUUUCCAACAAAUAAACUAGGGUUCUACUCCUUUUGUAUAUAUAUCCCCCCAGUUCUCUCUUCACUUCACUUUUGCAGCUGCAACUCAACUCCAUCAAAUCCAAUGGUAUGUUUUUCUCUUCCUCCUUCAUUCAAUCUUCUUUUUUAUUUUAUUUUAUUUUAACCGUUGUUACAAUGAACUUAAAUGAAUUAUUUACUUAAUAAUAAUGGUGUUGGUGAUGAAGGAAAAGUGCAAUGAAUUUUUAAAACUGUUGAAUGAUUUCAUGACUAUAAGAAUUGGUACAUGUGGCACAACAAAAUUGGAUGAUUUGUAUAAACAGUUUACAAAUUUUAAAUUGAGAUUUAACUCCUUCACACUAAAGGAAUCUCAAUUCACUAAUGGUGAGACACUGGACAAAAAUUUGACAUUGAAGAAUACCAAGAAAUCUGUGCCGGAAUUGAUAGACUAGAGUCGAUGAUUCAGCUUCGUCAUUUUUCAACUUUAUCAACGUCUUUCCGACUAUUCAACAAAUAUUAAACAUUGUGGUGCUGAGUUAUGUAAAUUGUUGGACAAUCCCAAGGCUCUAAGAAUUGAUUGAAGCAAGACUGCAAAAUACGUCUUUCGACUAUUCUUUAUAUGCUUUAUAUAUAUCUUGUGGUCUUGCUUCGACACCUCUUGGAUCAAUUCUUAGAGCCUCUUGGGAUUGUCCAACAAUUUACAUAACUCAGCACCCCAAUCCUAAUAUUUGUUGAAUAGUUGAAAAAAAGUUGAUGAAGUUGAAACUUCAACUGACGAAGUUGAAUCAUCGAAUCUAGUCUAUCAAUUCCGCGAUAAAUUUUUUGGUAUUCUUCAAUGUCAAAUUUUUGUCCAAUCUCAUCAUUAGUGAAUUGAGAUUCCUUUUAGUGUGAAGGAGUUAAAUCUCAAUUUAAAAUCUGUAAACUGUUUAUACAGAUCUUCCAAUUUUGUUGUGUUACCUCCUGUACCAAUUCUUAUAGCCUUGAAAUCAUACAACAGCUGUAAAGAUUCAUUGCAAUUUUGCUUCAUCACCAACACAAUUAUUAUUAAGUAAACAAUUCAUUUAUCUUCAUUGUAACAACAGUUAAAAUAUAUAAAUAAAUAAAUAAAAAGAAGAUUGAAUGAAGGAGUUAGAGAGAAGCAUACCAUUGGAUUUGAUGAUGUUGAGUUGCAGCGGCAGAAGUGAAGUGAAGAGAGAACUGGGCGGCUAUAUAUAAAAGGAUUGGAACCCUAGGUUUUUUUGUUAGAAAAUAAUAGAAGUUUCAAAACGGAUCAUCAGGCUGUUUCGGGCUGGUCCUAACAAGUUUUGGUCUUUAUCGGAUCAGGUCAAAAAGAUCUAUUUAAAUAUGGGCUCUAAAAUUACUGCCUGAUCUGGCAUGAAUUUUCGCUAAUAUUUGUGACCAGAGGGUAUAAGUUAUUGCAUUGAAAACUGUGUAAUAUUUAUAUAAAAAAGGGUUAAUAGGUCUUUAGCGCCCUGUAAUAUAUGUCAUUUCUGGUUUUCUCCCUGUAAAAUUUUUAUUUUGAUUCAACCCCUAUGAAAUAUUUUUGUUUUGAUUAGGGGCCAAACAAAAACCAAUUUUAUUAUUUUUUUCAAGAAAUUUUCGUUUUUGUUUGGCCUAUUAGGGGGGUAAAUCAAAACAAAAAUAUUUUACAAGGGUUAAAUCAAAAUAAAAUUUUUACAGGGAGGAAAACCGAAAAUGACCUAUAUUACAGGGGGUAAAGACCUAUUAACCCUGUAAAAAAACUUUAUCCCCUUCUUUCUCAAAUAUUGAUGAAAAAAUAUGUAAUAAUAUAAAAUUAUUUCCUAUAUAUAGGAAGACAUACAUAAAGAAAAAGGAAAGAAAAAGUUCAAUUUCAUGAAGAGAUAUAAUACAAUUACAAUAAUUCAAAACCAAUACUCCAAACCAUAUUAUUUCAUGAAUAGAUGUAAUACUAACAUCCAUCGUAGAUCCAUCAACUAUAUAUUGUACAAUUCAAGCAAAAUCACAAUGUGAUAUCUGAUUCCUAUUGAUCAUAUAAUAAACAUUUUAUUAGAACAAGUCAAAAUACG
rnacentral:lncRNA from 1 species